GAGGGGCAGUGUCCCUACCCAGGCUUGGAGGAGGAGCCUCAAGGGGUGUGUGUGGUUGGGGGAGACAGGCGGUGUCACCUGUGCUUAGACCAGGGGCGGUGGGCGGGUACCCUUGAGGUGGCAAGGUCACACUGCUCAUCAGAAGUUUCUCACUAGGGUCUUCUCUGGCCCAGCCUUUGACUGAAGCUGGUCUGGAGACAGGGGCGUUAGAGAAGUGACUCAUAGAUGGCCUAAAUAAGCGGGGCCACUCAAGGACCCAGGACAGGGGGAAGAGGGCCAACCCAUCUGGACCGCAGGCAAACCCCAUGGCCUUUGAGAGAAGAGAGAAGAGGACCCGGUGAAGCUUUUCCUCCAGGAGCUGCACCAGGAACUCACAGAGGAUCAGGGAGAAUUCUGAGAACAUGCUACUGUGGUGCUGCCUAGAGAGGAAGGAUAAAUGAUGACAAGUACAUCUCUGAGUAACGUAUGGGCACUUGUUCAUGAAAACUGUUUUUCUGAAAGCUUGUGAAGGUCUUGAAAUACUCGCUAUCAGUUGAGGACAAACAUUUACACCCUCCUUCCACAGGGAGUUCAAGCAGGCUGGAUGGGUCCAUCUAUGGAUGAUCUUCCCCAGCCCCUUCCUCUUCCCAGCUCAUCCCUGGCUCUCUGUGUGAACAGGUCUCAUCAGUGGAAUGUGGUUGAUGAAGUGAGGUCUUCAAUUUUCUCAUCUACUGUGUGGUCAUGUUAUUUUCCUCAUCUGAGGCUUAAAAACUCACCUGCAUGCAGCACAUGACAGCUUAAAAUCUCUUGUGAACAAAACAGUAACAAAGACACCCACCAGCGUUGAGCAUCCCGUGUUGAUGACAGCGACCACCAGGGGUCAACGUCCUCUUCACAAUCCUGUGUCAGAGCAUCACUUGACUGAUUUCAUUAGCAACUUCCCAGGAGAAUCAGCUUACAAAAUACUUGUCCCAUUUUCCAUGCAGAUGUAACCCAUCUAUUUUACUGAAGAAAUGGGAAGAGCUGAAUGCUGAAUACACUGAAUGUCUGCAGGUUGUGCAAGUUUGUGACUUUAUCACUUUCUAAUUUCUGAUCUGUGUGGACCACUCUACAGAUUUUUCUCACUGGUGUGAUCAGCCUUCUGGAUGUCAAAUAUAAUAGACUUUCAAUAAUAUAAAAGUCAACACAAGCUCCUCAUGGUUUCAGUGCUCAGUGAUGACUCUAAACUUACACAAUGUGUUUCUUUAUUAGUUUUGUUUUCUGGUAUCUCUACUCGGCAUCUUCACCACACCCAUUUUAUGUUUCUUAUACAGGCUUUCUUCUAUGAAAUGCUAUGUCAUGAAUAUGCAAAUAACCUGAGAUCCACUGAGGUAAAUUUGGAUGUCUGUGCCCUGAGAGCAUCACCCAACAACCACAUCCCUCCUCUAUAGAAGCCCCUGAGAACACAGCUCCUCACCAUGGACUGUACCUGGGGGAUCCACUUCUUGGUGGCAGCUGCCACAGGUGUCCAUUCCCAGGUUCAGCUGUUGCAGCCUGGGGCUGAGGUGAAGAAGCCUGGGUCCUCAGUGAAGGUCUCCUGCCAGGCUUCCAGAUACACCUUCACCAAAUACUUUACACGGUGGGUGUGACAAAGCCCUGGACAAGGGCAUAGUGGAUGGGAUGAAUCAACCCUUACAAUGAUAACACACACUAUGCACAGACGUUCUGGGGCAGAGUCACCAUUACCAGUGACAGGUCCAUGAGCACAGCCUACAUGGAGCUGAGCAACCUGAGAUCUGAAGACAUGGUCAUGUAUUACUGUGUGAGAGACACAGUGCAAAAACCCACAUCCUGAGAGUGUCAGAAACCCCAGGAAGGAGACACCUGUGCUGACACAGAGGAGAUGACAAAGAUUAUUAGAUUAAAGAUUUGCUUAGAAAAUGACAUUAAGUCAUUAAAGAAAAGGAACAAUAUUAAUGUGUAUUUGAGAAAUUUUAAUUAUUUGAGAGAUUUUUCAUACAACAUUUAUUCUGUAAACAAAUUUCAAUGAUUAGAGAAUUAAUCAAAUUAAUGAAACUAAUAUAGAACUUCCUCUGAAGGUAUCUCUGUAAACAUUAAUUUCUUAAUCAGUGCUGUAAGUAUUUUGGAAUACAGACACAAAAUCACAUUUUAAGUCUGCAUUUAUAUCUAUUAAAAAUGCCAAAAAAAUCUCCUUUUGUGCGUGUAGCAUUUUGAAUUCCCACCAUCAAUGCAUGAUAGUUCUUGGUUUUCCACAUUCAUAUUGCCAUGUAUCCUUAUGAGAGUUGUGUGUUUUAACCAAUCUAGUAGGUGAGUAAUGGGAUCUAAUUUUUAUUUAAAUGCACAUGUCCCUCAAAAAGUUCAUAUUUAACAAUUUUCCAAUAACUUUUGUUGAGAUGCCU
rnacentral:lncRNA from 1 species